rnacentral:lncRNA from 1 species
AUGGCCCCAAAUUCACCCAAAAAUCCCCCAAAAAUGCCCCAAAAAGCCCCAAAAUUCCCAGGAAAUCCCCAGAAUGGAAAGAAAAUCCCGAAUUUUGGGGGAAUUCCCGAAAUUCCCAGAAAAAUCCCGGUUUUUUUCCCGUUUUAUUCAGAAUUUCACCCAAAAAAUCAAAGUGGGGGCGGAGGGAAAACCCGGAGUGGAUCCGGAGGGAGGCGGGGAAUGGGAUCGGGAAUGGGGAAAACCCGGAGUGGAUUUACGGGGGAGAUUUUGGGGGAGAAUCCCGGAAUUUCUUUGGGAUUGGGGAAAAACCUGGCCUGGAGUGGGAUCAGGAGCAAAUCCCGGCCUGGAUCAGACCCAAAUCUCGGACUGGAUUCUGGUCUGGAGUGGGAUCAAAACCAAAUCCCGGCCUGGAUUUCCCUCGGGAUCAGGAUCAGGCCCAAAUCCCGGCCUGGAGUCUGGCCUGGAGUGGGAUCAGACCCAAAUCCCGGCCUGGAUUUCCCUCAGGAUCAGGAUCAGGCCCAAAUCCCGGCCUGGAGUCUGGCCUGGAGUGAUAUCAGACCCAAAUCCUGGCCUGGAUUUCCCUCAGGAUCGGGAUCAGGAGAAAAUCCCAGCCUGGAUCAGGAGCAAAUCCUGGCCUGGAUUUCUCUCAGGAUCAGACCCAAAUCCCGGCCUGGAUUUCCCUUGGGAUCGGGAUCAGACCCAAAUCCUGGCCUGGAUUGGGAUCAGGAGAAAGUCCCGGCCUGGAUUUUUCUUGGGAUCGGGAUCAGACCCGAAUCCCGGCCUGGAUUUCCCUCAGGAUCGGGAUCAGGAGCAAAUCCCGGCCUGGAUUUCAUUUGGGAUCAGGAUCGGGAGCAAAUCCCGGCCUGGAUUCUGGCCUGGAGUGGGAUCAGACCCAAAUCCUGGCCUGGAUUGGGAUCAGGAGCAAAUCCCAGCCUGGAUUUCCCUCAGGAUCCGGAUAAGGACCAAAUCCCGGCCUGGAUUUCAUUUGGGAUCAGGAUCAGACCCAAAUCCCGGCCUGGAUUUCCCUUGGGAUCGGGAUCAGACCCAAAUCCCGGCCUGGAUUUCCCUCGGGAUCGGGAUCAGAAGCAAAUCCUGGCCUGGAUCGGGAUCAGGAGCAAAUCCCGGCCUGGAUUUUUCUCAGGAUCGGGAUCAGACCCAAAUCCCGGCCUGGAUUUCCCUCAGGAUCGGGAGCAGGAGCAAAUCCUGUCCCGGAUUCUGGCCUGGAGUGGGAUCAGACCCAAAUCCUGGCCUGGAUUGGGAUCAGGAGCAAAUCCCGGCCUGAAUUUCCCUCAGGAUCAGGAUCAGACCCAAAUCCCGGCCGCAUUUUCCUGUUUUUCUCAUUUUUUAAUGCAUUUUUCCCAUUUUUUCACCGUUUUCCCUUUUUUUCCCACCAUUUUUUCACAUUUUCCCACCAUUUCCUCCCGUUUUUAA